UGCACACCAAAUAAUCACCAAAUGAGCUGCGUUGAAAAUGAUUCACUUAUGAGUUGCAACUUGUAACCGCAGGAUAGGGGCGCCGGCCAGCCAGCCAGCCACCGUAUACCGGUAGAUUGACGACGGGUUGAUCGUGGAUCAGGUAACGGCGCCAUCAAAUCACACUCCCGACACACAGUAGAAGUGUAACAACGAUGUAGAGAGAGAAAGUGAGGACCACAGCUACCCACACCCAAUCAACAACCAGCAUUCAAACGGAAUCCCUGCCAUCACCAACGUCCUCAUCAUCACCUCCACUCUCCCCUAUCUCUCUCUAAAACUAAAAAAAAAAAAAAAAAAACAGAAGAAUCACAGAAGAUAUUAUUCUCCAUUCGAAUAACUAACUAUAUAACAUGUGUGCGUGCGUAUAAAUAGUCGAGUAUAUAUACAAGGAACUGCAGCAAAGAAGUUGGCGAUUGACAUUGCUUCGGUAGGAAUGAGGACCAAAGCUUCGGUGGUUGCAGAGAAGAGGAGAAAGGUCGGUAAUGGAGAACCGAAGUCACCGUUCAGUCAAAUUACGACGGAGAAGGAGACCGAGACAGGCACUUCCGCCGGCGAUCACAAUGUAGUGUCUUGUUUCUCAGUUAAUGGAUCAACAGAAGAAUUGGAAUUCGCAGAUCUGAAGCAGGAUGAAUUUGAAACAAUUGCGAGUUGUAAUUUGGACACAAGAGCAAGCAAACCGAGCACCGAAUCCAAACCACCGGAGAUGCUCAAAUCAAAGCCGUCGUCAACAACAACCAAUUGUCGCCGCCGUACAGUGCCAACGGCUGAGCUCGAAGAAUUUUUCACCGCCGCGGAGAAAGACCUCCAUAAACGCUUCAAAGACAAGUACAAUUUCGACAUUGUAAACGAGACGCCAUCAGAAGGUCGAUUCGAGUGGGUUCAACUGAAGCCAUGAAGAUGAUAAGAUGACGAUUGAUAAUUAUUACAUGAAAUUAAUUCGUAACAAAUUUAAGAGUCGAAUGUUAAAAAUUAAUCAUGGUAGUCGCCGGAGUUGGUACCGGCGGUGAGAUAACCGGAGUUUGGGGUCGGAAUGGGGGAAAGACAAAUGCAAAUUACACCGACGGCUACGGACACGUGUGAAAAAACAUUCUAUUGGGAUGAGCAUUGAUGGAAAACAAUGAUUGUAUGGAUGUCAUUAGCUCAUAUAUUGAGAGAAUAUCUUUUUUUUUUGUGUAUAUAAAAUUGGUUAUUUGGUUUUGAGUAAAGUUGAUUUUUGUUAUUUUUGUUGUUUCUAUUUGAGUUUUUUUGUAUUAAAUUAAAUUAUAGAGUGAAAAUUACAUGAGUCGUUUUAUAGUUUGCCAUAA